UACAAGUUCAAGGAGGUGAUAGCAACAUUGGAUAUUGAAUCGAGGAAAAAGAAAUUGCGAAAUUAGAGCAAUUAAGAGUAGAAAUUCCUCGAGAAAAUUAAGGCUAAAAAGAGCGACAAAGCGAAUGGUUUUGCGAUUAGUCGUCAACAGGUACAGAUAAUCGGUUUGGUGACCCGUCAGCAUAGGACUUCUACUCAGCUGUCCUGGAGAGCUCCGUUGUUCCGGAGUCUAAACUUUUAGUACAGAUCCUACGAUAUAUAUAUGUAUAUGUUAUCCAGGGGUACGACGGGGCCCGUCCCCAUC